CCGGGUUGGAUUCAAACCCACCACCUCAGCUUCUGAAUUUUUGUGCAAUCCUGAGAGGAGGAAGAAAUUUACUCAAUAAAAGUUAAUAUUAGAUUUUCCACCAGCCAAGAGUUGAAGUUAAUGUGAUUUGCAGAAAAUAAAAGAAUACAGCUGCCAACAUUGGACUGUGUGUGUUCAAGCCGAGGCCACAGGAGACUAGUUGCGAAGACCACAGGAGAAACAGAGAGCAUCAUGGUCACCUCACAGUGCAGAAGGGACAGCGGAAGGGUACUGGGCUGGGUUGGAACAUUCCUCUCUUGGCGAUGUUCAAGAGUGGACAAGCCAAGAAGGUGUUGACGCUGGGUUGUUUUCUUUGUGAAUAUCCUGUCCUGGCCAAAGGGCCAGACCAUUUGUUCCCGGGGUGGCCGGGUGGGAGGAGGGACGGGCUGGGCUGGCUUUCCCAGAAAGAAGUGCCCAUUUCCUCUCAGUCAUUCUGGGAAGAGGUGGAUUCUACCCCUAGCUGAAGGAAGGGGGAAGAGGUAGGCCUCCACAUGGAAGGAGAGGAAGCUGUUUUUCCUCCUCUCCAGCAGAAGGGGCUAAAUGUGGAGAGACACUGAGCAUUUCUGUGGUGGGAACAGAGCUGUUCCCUGCCAUGUGGCGGCAGCGGGCUGACUGUUAAGGGACCCAGAGCAGUUCUGAGUUUGGGGUCUCAGAGAAGCCACAUCUGGUAAUUCUAUGAGUCUCUGAGACUCGGCCACUUAUGAUGAUUUAAUGUUAUGAUGGUUCAAAAGCAAUACGCACUCAGGGCAGACUGUAGUUGGAGCUCCCAAACGACCAUUCCGUGUUUCACUUUCAGCACCUAUUCUAUAAAAUAGGCUUUGUGUUAGAUGAGUUUGCCUAACUGCAGGCUAAUGUUAAGUGUUCUGAGUGCCUUUAAGGUAGGGUUAGCCUAAAUUAGGACAGUUGGUAGUUUAGGUGAAUUAAAUGCAUUUUCAACCUACAGUAUUUUCAGCUUACAAUGGUUUUAUCAGAAUGUGACCCCAUCAUAAGGUGAGGAGCACUGGCAAGCAGUUCAUUUCAUUAUACCCAAACACUGAGUGAUACGUGGUUCAUUUCAAUCAGUCUUUACAAGAGAAGGGUUGGGUUGGGGCCACAAAGGGCUGGUGUCCUCUCCACAAGGCCACAGAUGGGGAUGCAGUGAUGGGCCCAAGAACCAGUCAUUUCCAAGAAUCACUGGCAGCAGCAUUGCGCUAGGCAGUAAGGGAGAGUUUUUGUUCAUAUAUGAGACAUUUGCAAAAGUAUCUGGGGGUUGUUUGACAAGAAUUAUUGUCCAAAACCAUGCUAGCAGGGUGUGGUGACUUCAUCAUGAGGACAUUCAACAGAAAUGUGAGGUUAUAGUUGCUGGCUGGUGAGAGCUCUGGGGCUUAUUACAUGAGGAUCAACUCCGGGGGAAGCAGGUCGCCUGGUCACACAGCUGUCCUGCUCCUGCGCUGUCCACCUGUCACUGAGAUGUUUCCUUCCUGAUUCCUGCUGCCACCACCCUGCCCAGCCCCAGGGAAUGCUGCUCCCUCUUCAACACCAUGGCCUAAGCAAGCAGAGAGCCGCUCUCUUCAAAUAUCUUUGGGAUGCUGUUAUGUUGUCUCAAUGUACAAGGAAAUGAAUUCAUACUAAAAUACAUCUUCAAUUUUAACUAAAAAAAAAUCUGAAAACAAAUA